CCCAGUGGUAGUCAGCUGUCCAGGAUAUCUCUGUACCUGGGAUAGUGUUCCGCUGCUGGAAGAGAAACCUAAAGCUUUACAGUGGAAAUCAAUGUCACCGUUUUGUUGACUUGUGACCUGGGUGUUACUGUUUAGCUGAGCUGUGCUUCUCUGAAACUGCUGACUUUUUUUUUCAGUGCUGUCUGCAUUAGUCUGGAAGUACACAGU